rnacentral:rRNA from 1 species
UACGAAGGGGGCUAGCGUUGCUCGGAAUCACUGGGCGUAAAGCGCACGUAGGCGGAUCGCUAAGUCAGGGGUGAAAUUUCGGAGCUUAACUCCGAAACUGCAUUCGAUACUGCCGUGCUUGAGGACUGGAGAGGAGACUGGAAUUUACGGUGUAGCGGUGAAAUGCGUAGAUAUCGUAAGGAAGACCAGUGGCGAAGGCGGGUCUCUGGACAGUUCCUGACGCUGAGGCACGAAGGCCAGGGGAGCAAACGGG